GAUGAACGCUAGCUACAGGCUUAACACAUGCAAGUCGAGGGGAAACGACAUCGAAAGCUUGCUUUUGAUGGGCGUCGACCGGCGCACGGGUGAGUAACGCGUAUCCAACCUGCCCAUCACUUGGGAAUAACCUUGCGAAAGUAAGACUAAUACCCAAUGACAUCCCACGAAGACAUCUGAAUGGGAUUAAAGAUUUAUCGGUGAUGGAUGGGGAUGCGUCUGAUUAGCUUGUUGGCGGGGUAACGGCCCACCAAGGCAACGAUCAGUAGGGGUUCUGAGAGGAAGGUCCCCCACAUUGGAACUGAGACACGGUCCAAACUCCUACGGGAGGCAGCAGUGAGGAAUAUUGGUCAAGGGGCGAGAGCCUGAACCAGCCAAGUAGCGUGCAGGAGGACGGCCCUAUGGGUUGUAAACUGCUUUUAUAAGGGAAUAAAGUGGGUCUCGUGAGACUUUUUGCAUGUACCUUAUGAAUAAGGACCGGCUAAUUCCGUG
rnacentral:rRNA from 1 species